GUACAACUGUCGGUACUAAGUUUUGAGGGUUGAUGGUGAUCUGCAGAGCCAAAAUAUUUUGGAGCUAUUGACUUAAUCCUACUUUUGUCUAAUAAAACUGUACUCAGUGGCAGCCAGCAAUUCCGGCUGUCGUUCCCGAAAGUUACGCAGCUACAGAAGGGGAGCUAAGAAAGACCCGGGCAGGACCAGGCGAGGAGCACACACAUGCACAAGCGCUCUCCCACACGCACACUCUCACCCGGCAGCCCCGAUGCUGGCAAAUAGCGGCUGCCCUGCGCCCAGCAGCCCGGGGCAGCACGGUGGCUGCCUUGCCCCCCAUAGGAGUGGCCUGGCGACCCCCGCGGGGCAGCGUUCGGGCCGAGCCGAGCCAGGCCAAGCCGGGCCGAGCCGAGCCAGGCCAAGCCGGGCCGGGCCGAGCCGAGCCGAGACGCGCCGCACCUGCCGCCGGCUGCCCGCCGCGGCACAGGACAGCAGAGGUCGCCGCUGGCCCGGCUCUGGGCCCGGCACGGCACGGCACGGCGCGCACAAGGUGCUCCGGGGCUGCCCCCGCUGCGAGUCCCCGCCGCCGGGACCCCGCGGUGCCCCCUUUUGCCCCCCAAGAGGGUCCUGUCCCCCCUCUCGCCCCGGCCGAAGCCCUGCACCGCGCCCGUCGGGGGCCGUCGGGGGCCCCGCGCGAGUUGUGGUGCGCGGGGCAGCCGCAGCUUGCGGGAAGGCGGCUGCCAGGGUUAAAGGAGAGGGUGGGAAGGGAUGGAGGCUGCGGGGCGCUCCCUUGCCAAAGACAAUAAAUCGGCCAACCCUGACGUGUUUUGCUUAGCCCCGGGUGCUCCCUCCGCCGUGGGCAGUGCAGGGCCGUGCUGCGCCCCGCUGCAAGGCUCCGUGGGUGAAUCGGAGCUUGUGCGGGGAGGCGAAGCGCACAAAGGAGGCUUUCAGGCGCUGGCAGCGGCGCUCGGGGGAAGGGAGCUAAGGCAGAGC